CAAUAGAUGGCGUUGUGCUCCUUGAGC
rnacentral:sRNA from 1 species